GAAAGCCGUAUUCGAUGAAAGUUGUAUGUACGACUUGGAGGGAGACCUUUCCUAUAUUUCGAGAUCCACUCUAC
rfam:Leersia perrieri chromosome 9, whole genome shotgun sequence.